rnacentral:rRNA from 1 species
UAUCUCUGUAGAGUCUGCAUAUCAAUAAGCGGAGGAAAAGAAACUAACAAGGAUUCCCUUAGUAACGGCGAGUGAAGCGGGAAGAGCUCAAAUUUGAAAUCUUCAAGGUUCUACCUUGACGAAUUGUAGUUUAAAGGAAGUGUUUUCUGUUAGAUGAGUAGCAAAAGUUCCUUGGAAUGGGACAUCAUAGAGGGUGAGAAUCCCGUAUUUGGUUAUUCAUUCUAGCUUUGUGAUACACUUUCAAAGAGUCGGAUUGUUUGGGAAUGCAGUCCAAAAUGGGUGGUAAAUUUCAUCUAAAGCUAAAUAUUGGCGAGAGACCGAUAGCGAACAAGUACCGUGAGGGAAAGAUGAAAAGAACUUUGAAAAGAGAGUUAAACAGUACGUGAAAUUGUCAAAAGGGAAGCGUUUGACACCAGUGUUGUUUUUCCGAAAAUCAAUUACGAAUGGCUUGAUUUUGUGUUGUAUUGACCUUAUCAGCUUUCUGCACUUUUUUCGAGUCUUUCUUAAUGCACCUUUCGGUUAACAAGUCAACAUCAAUUUCUUUUGUUGUAAAAGAGUAUUCGGAAGGUGGCUUUCUUUUCGGAGAAAGUGUUUAUAGCCCUAUACUUCUACAAUCGGAGAGAUUGAGGUCUGCAGCGUAGAUCCUUCGGGGUUAGAUACAUUUGUGCUAAGUUGUAGCUUUUCAUAGACAACUUGUUGACUAUGUUUAGUCAUGCGGCUUACUCGCUUAUGCUAUUUUACCUACGCUUAGGAUGUUGACUGAUAUGUAGUCGU